CAGUGCUAGGCUUAAAGAGUGGUGUCUGCACUACGGUGAGUCCACCGCCCUGUGUGUUUUUUUUUCCGCAAUUUUACACUGUUUCAAGUGGUUCAGGCUGGCUUGCUGGUUUGUUCCAUUGCCUCGACAUGCACCCGGUCUUGUACUGGACUGCAUGUGCAGUCGCCUGGAGGUGCCUUAUCCCGGGGCUGGGACUGAGAAAACCCAAUCCCCGGUUAUUCGGUAUUAUAAUGUGCCGGGAUUGCCCGGGUUACGCACAACUCUGAUCGGUGGAUCACUCGGCUCG
rnacentral:rRNA from 1 species